CGCGUAGGCGGCUCUAUAAGUCAGAUGUGAAAGCCCUGGGCUUAACCCAGGAAGUGCAUUUGAAACUAUAGGGCUUGAGUAUGGGAGAGGGAAGUGGAAUUCCUGGUGUAGAGGUGAAAUUCGUAGAUAUCAGGAGGAACACCGGUGGCGAAGGCGACUUCCUGGACCAAUACUGACGCUGAGGCGCGAAGGCGUGGGGAGCAAACAGGAUUAGAUACCCUGGUAGUCC
rnacentral:rRNA from 1 species